rnacentral:rRNA from 1 species
CUUGGCUAGAUGCUGACGAGUGGCGCACGGGCUGAGUAACGCGUAUACAAUCCUACCUUUAACUGAGGAAUAGCCCAGAGAAAUUUGGAUUAAUACCUCAUAGUAUUAUAUUAAGGCAUCUUUUUAUAAUUAAAACUUCGGUGGUUAAAGAUGAGUAUGCGUCCUAUUAGUUUGUUGGUAAGGUAAAAGCUUACCAAGACUACGAUAGGUAGGGGGCCUGAAAGGGUGAUCCCCCACACUGGUACUGAGACACGGACCAGACUCCUACG